GAUGAACGCUGGCGGCGUGCUUAACACAUGCAAGUCGAACGAACUCUUUCGGGAGUGAGUGGCGGACGGGUGAGUAACGCGUGAGGAUCUGCCUAUAGGACGGGGACAACAGCGGGAAACUGCUGCUAAAACCCGAUGUGCCGAGAGGUGAAAUAUUUAUAGCCUGUAGAUGAGCUCGCGUCUGAUUAGCUAGUUGGUGGUGUAAGGGACUACCAAGGCGACGAUCAGUAGCUGGUCUGAGAGGACGAUCAGCCACACUGGGACUGAGACACGGCCCAG
rnacentral:rRNA from 1 species